GAGGAAUAUUGCGCAAUGGGGGCAACCCUGACGCAGCGACGCCGCGUGGAUGAUGAAGGCCCUUGGGUCGUAAAAUCCUGUCAGAUGGAAAGAAAUGUAUAGCAGUUAAUAUCUGUUAUAUUUGACGGUACCAUCAAAGGAAGCACCGGCUAACUCCGUGCCAGCAGCCGCGGUAAUACGGAGGGUGCAAGCGUUGUUCGGAAUUACUGGGCGUAAAGCGCGCGUAGGCGGUUUGCUAAGUCAGAUGUGAAAGCCCUCGGCUUAACCGGGGACGGGCAUUUGAAACUGGCAGACUUGAGUACUGGAGGGGGUGGUGGAAUUCCCGGUGUAGAGGUGAAAUUCGUAGAUAUCGGGAGGAAUACCGGUGGCGAAGGCGACCACCUGGCCAGAUACUGACGCUGAGGUGCGAAAGCGUGGGGAGCAAAC
rnacentral:rRNA from 1 species